rnacentral:rRNA from 1 species
AACCUUACCUGGUCUUGACAUCCACAGAACUUUCCAGAGAUGGAUUGGUGCCUUCGGGAACUGUGAGACAGGUGCUGCAUGGCUGUCGUCAGCUCGUGUUGUGAAAUGUUGGGUUAAGUCCCGCAACGAGCGCAACCCUUAUCCUUUGUUGCCAGCGAUUAGGUCGGGAACUCAAAGGAGACUGCCAGUGAUAAACUGGAGGAAGGUGGGGAUGACGUCAAGUCAUCAUGGCCCUUACGACCAGGGCUACACACGUGCUACAAUGGCGCAUACAAAGAGAAGCGACCUCGCGAGAGCAAGCGGACCUCAUAAAGUGCGUCGUAGUCCGGAUUGGAGUCUGCAACUCGACUCCAUGAAGUCGGAAUCGCUAGUAAUCGUGGAUCAGAAUGCCACGGUGAAUACGUUCCCGGGCCUUGUACACACCGCCCGUCACACCAUGGGAGUGGGUUGCAAAAGAAGUAGGUAGCUUAACCUUCGGGAGGGCGCUUACCACUUUGUGAUUCAUGACUGGGGUGAAGUCGUAACAAGGUAACCGUAGGGGAACCUGC